rnacentral:rRNA from 1 species
CGUAGGCAGCGAGCGUUGUUCGGAGUUACUGGGCGUAAAGGGUGUGUAGGCGGUUGUCUAAGUUUGGUGUGAAAUCUCCCGGCUCAACCGGGAGGGUGCGCCGAAAACUGGAUGACUAGAGUGCGGGAGGGGAGUGUGGAAUUCCCGGUGUAGCGGUGAAAUGCGCAGAUAUCGGGAGGAACACCAGCGGCGAAGGCGGCACUCUGGGCUGGUACUGACGCUGAGGAGCGAAAGCGUGGGUAGCAAACAGGAUUAGAUACCCUGGUAGUCCACGCCGUAAACGUUGGGCACUAGGUGUGGGGCCUUUCCAACGGGUUCCGUGCCGUAGCUAACGCAUUAAGUGCCCCGCCUGGGGAGUACGGCCGCAAGGCUA